UACCUAUAUUUAUUGGCGUACAAAAAAAAAAACACCUGGCAAGCAACGGGACAAUUUUUUCACCUGAUGGAUAACGAUUUACAUUAUGUGAUGACUAAUAGGCAAUAGCUAGACACUCAACUACCAUUUUUCGUAUUAAUUUAUUUUUAUAUUUAAUUUAAAUCUAAAAAGUUAAAAGAACCGGGAAAACGUUAUUGAAACAACCAUUUACAUUUACACCAAAUGAUAAUAUAAGUUUUAUAGAAUAAAAAAAUAACUGAAAAAAAAAUAAUAAUUGAAUGUACACAAACACGACAUCGACUUUAGUACUUUUCCUAAUUUUUUAGUAUAUGAUUUUUUUUCUAGAAAUCUGGUUAACAUUUCCGAACGAAUUUGAGGUGAAACGAUUUUCACUCUAUCACCUCAAAGGCGUAGGAAGUGGCUUCCAAACACCCGCAAUCGACUUUCAUACAUGCCGUUAUAUAAUGAUAAUAAUAUGUGCACUUGCUCAUUAUCGUAAAAUAAUUUUAUUGAAAAUAUAUUUGUCCAUAGAAUUAUUGAAUCAAUAGUUUAUAUUAUAAUAUUAAAAUAUAAAAUAAAAAAGACCACUUAAAAGUUUAAGACGGGUACAAUACGAAUCGAAAUACUUGAAAUCCUCGUUAAACAUUAUUAUAUAAUAGGUAUUAUCGGGUAAAUAAUAAUAAUAACGUUUGAAAAAGUAAAUGGUCUUUGGUCCCUCGGAAUCUUAAUGUCAGCUGUUUAAAAUAGAUGAACGUUAUUGCUGGCUAAUAAUAAACAACGCUGUACCCAUUGUCCGGUGUCGUUUAAUAUAAGUCUCUAUGUAAUCCGCUGCGUCGAACGAUUAAUCAAGUGAUUUCCAUUUUUAAGUUCACGAGACAUUCGUCACGUAGACACACGACAGACAACGUUGUAGCAGCAUUUUGCCGGCCAAGGGACAAAACGAACUAAUCAAAAAACCAAAGAGGAAAAAACAAUACAUCGGCAGGACAACUAGGCGGAGACGCCGCCGUAGUGCAGAUACCGCAAGGCCGGAAUCGUUGACCGUGGCCGUUACCGCGACAGUCUUCCGUUAUCGUUCCGCUCGACCGGAGCUGCAGAAGACCUUCACCUGCCGUCACGAAAGUCGAGACCAUCGUCGAGUUCCGCGGGACCGGCUGCGAGUAUACGUCGCAGAGGCGACUUGCGCGAUGGGCUAUAACGAUUCGCUUUUACACUGCUUAUCUGCUCCGUCUAAAUGUUAAAUAGCAUCGUCACAAAAUGGGUACAUUACCUAACCUAACCUAACCUAACCUACCGAUACGUAGGUGGUAGUAACACCAAGAAGACGACGGGAUUGUACGGGUUUGUGGUGCGUGAAUUGUCGGCUCGUGAUGUUUUUUUAAAUCCUCGAACUGAACUGACAGUGAGUGGACGAUGUCCUCCAGUGCACAGAGGCGUACGUCAAUUGAACGAGGCGCGUCAGCGACCAUUUAAACAAUAUAAUAUUGAAGUGUGUUUCUUGUGCCAUUGUUUGUGGCAAACUAAUAAACUUUUCUCCCCGA